GUUUUUAUCUGAUUUU
rnacentral:sRNA from 1 species